GGCUUCAAAACCGCGGUGGACCAGAUGGCGGCCGUGGGGUUUG
rnacentral:tRNA from 1 species